UACGAAGGGGGCUAGCGUUGCUCGGAAUCACUGGGCGUAAAGCGCACGUAGGCGGCUUACUAAGUCAGGGGUGAAAUCCUGGAGCUCAACUCCAGAACUGCCUUUGAUACUGGUGAGCUUGAGUCCGGAAGAGGUGAGUGGAACUGCGAGUGUAGAGGUGAAAUUCGUAGAUAUUCGCAAGAACACCAGUGGCGAAGGCGGCCCUCUGGACCGGUACUGACGCUGAUGCGCGAAAGCGUGGGGAGCAAACGGG
rnacentral:rRNA from 1 species